CAGUAGCCGCGGUAAUACGUAGGGUGCGAGCGUUAAUCGGAAUUACUGGGCGUAAAGCGUGCGCAGGCGGUUGUGUAAGACAGGUGUGAAAUCCCCGGGCUUAACCUGGGAACUGCGCUUGUGACUGCACAGCUAGAGUAUGGCAGAGGGGGGUGGAAUUCCACGUGUAGCAGUGAAAUGCGUAGAGAUGUGGAGGAACACCGAUGGCGAAGGCAGCCCCCUGGGCCAAUACUGACGCUCAUGCACGAAAGCUAGGGGAGCAAAUGGGAUUAGAUACCCGUGUAGUCCCUGUCUCUUAUAC
rnacentral:rRNA from 1 species